UGCAAUAAAAGAGCUCGCCCCAAAGCGGUGGGCGCGCCACUUGCUGCNCAUCUGCAAUAAAAGAGCUCGCCCCAAAGCGGUGGGCGCGCCACUUGCUGCAAGAGAAGCUCGUCUCUGCCUGGUUUCUUCCCGCAUCUGGCGACCCCGAGCUGAUCAGCUCCCUCUGCUCAUCGGCUGGAAUAGCCCUGGUGCACCGCAGCGCGUCUUUGUGGUCCCUCCCGGAAACUCGUCUGCGGGCCCCCCUGGAGCCCAGGAAUAAUCGAGGGGCCUCCUACUUCCUUUCCUCCCCCGGCAACAGCCGGCAGCGCAGCACACCGGUGGUUUCGGCUCAACUAGAUCGGACCUGCCGGAUCAGGACAACCCGGAAUACCACCCUCAAAUCGUCGCGCUCUUACAGCAGAUCCAAACACAAAAACCAACUCAUGACUACGUAAUUCACGAAACAUUUUCGCCAAGAAGAGGUGCUCCCCGCCCCCAAGGUGACAUAUCGCCAACUGCCUGGGGCCACCUGGAGCCCACCCGUACCAUUAAUAACUUGGGGGCGAGGAUACGCCGCUCUUAGCACACCUACUAGCCCCGUGUGGGUCCCCGCCCGUUACGCUCGGCCGUGGAAGGAGGGUGGCGUGGCAUCAGGGCCUGAAUUCAAUCGAUGGCUGGCGUCCACUCGAACCAUUACCCGGGCACAGGCUCGUGGUACGCCCAAUGCCCCAGUUACAUGGGGGCAGGUUAAGGCUUUGUCCCUGCAAGCGGAGAAAACGCUGGAGACUACUGGCCUGGAAAAGACUUCAGAAAACUUUGUGGUAGCCCUGCUCGCGUGUUUAAACUCUAAUUCCUGUGUAAUGUUGUUAAGUAUUUUACACUGUUGUGUCCUC
rnacentral:lncRNA from 1 species